UUGGGUAUUCGCCAAAUUGGUAAGGCAGCGGACUCUGAAUCCGUAAUUUACUGGUUCGAGCCCAGUAUACCCAAUC
rnacentral:tRNA from 7 species